rnacentral:rRNA from 1 species
GAUGAACGCUGGCGGCGUGCCUAAUACAUGCAAGUCGAGCGGUAAGGCCCUUCGGGGUACACGAGCGGCGGACGGCUGAGUAACACGUAGGAACCUACCCCAAACUGAGGGAUAAGCACCAGAAAUGGUGUCUAAUACCGCAUGUGCUCUACGGAGUAAAGCUUCGGCGGUUUGGGAAGGGCCUGCGUCCGAUUAGCUAGUUGGUGGUAUAAAAGACUACCAAGGCGACGAUCGGUAGCUGGUCUGAGAGGAUGAUCAGCCAGACUGGGACUGAGACACGGCCCAGACUCCUACGGGAGGCAGCAGUAGGGAAUUUUCCACAAUGGGCGAAAGCCUGAUGGAGCAACGCCGCGUGCAGGAUGAAUGCCUUCGGGUUGUAAACUGCUUUUAUCUGUGACGAAUAUGACGGUAGCAGAUGAAUAAGGACCUGCUAACUACGUGCCAGCCGCCGCAGUAA